CAGGGAGACAAAAACUGAUCGUGAUGUCUGAGUAGAUUUAAAACUUAGGCCAUGAUCCUGUCACCUUAGGUCGAUCGGUACCUCAGAUUUCUUUUUAAAUACAACUACUAAUCAGUUUUAUUUGAUAGAUAAUUUCAGUUCCUAAACUUUGUCUAGGUCACACCCAACAAGGGUACUCCUGGGCCAUUAGCUCAGGUGGUUAGAGCGCACCCCUGAUAAGGGUGAGGUCCCUGGUUCAAGUCCAGGAUGGCCCAUUCGGUUUGGGGGUAUAGCUCAGUUGGUAGAGCGCCUGCUUUGCAAGCAGGAUGUCAGCGGUUCGAGUCCGCUUACCUCCACUGAUCGACUCCUCGUAACCAAGUUAAAGGAGAUUUGGCUCUUUGUUUUGUGUGACUUAGCCGGUCUGACACUGAUUGAACCUAGCUUCUUGUCAUCCCUCUUCUAAAAAUUAAUUAGAUCAGGUUGAUAUGACGCUGGGCUCACUGAAAUUCAAAAGGAUUUCAGGGAUCUUCAGUAGAACCUUGACAACUGCAUAGGAUAAUUUGAAAAAGAAUAAAGCAUCUCAUAGAGGCAUUAUUCUUUUUAUUCAGCAUCAUGCUAAAUAAAGGAAUAAUGUUGAAUUCUUGAGUAAGAGCCGAGACUCUAAAACAUCCUUUUAGUACAAUUAAUUGUUUAAGAGUUUGAUUACUGAUUUGUAAGAUUAAUUGCUAAUCAGUGAGAAUUAGUGUUAACACCACAAGGUGUUUUAGAGAUUAAU
rnacentral:tRNA from 1 species